AGGAUCUAGAGAGAGAAAGACAGACAGAUGAUGAGCUGAAGAGGAGAAAAUGAAGUGAAAAAACACUUUUUAUCAAAGCAGCUCCAACUGCAAUAGCUGUUACAUGUGGUGCUAAUUGCGUCAGCACUGGUUAAUUUGAUCUACUUUAGUUAAAGAGGCUAUAUAAUUAUCUUUGCCAGUGUUUAUGAUUGGCUACAUCGACAGACUGCUACCUUAUACAGCUCAAUGUGCACAAGCAUGUGAAUGACACUUUACCUCCUUGACGUCUCUGUAAUUGUCACUGCCAUUUCCUUCUGUCUUUUUUUUGUCUGAACCCGAGUCCCUCUACAUAAAGAACAGAAAACGUACAAAGGUUAAAUGAAGCAAGUGUGAAUGUUUUAUUCUAUUAAAAUAACAAGGGUCACUAUCUAAGGAAGACGGCCUUGAAGUAAAAAGCCUAGUCCUACACUGUGCCCGUGACGUGACGGCGCAGCACGUGAUAAAAGGUAACUUUACAUGUUAAUCAGAGUUUUUGUCCUAACCAGCCACAACAACACAAAGUAUGGCAAUGAUAAUCUCAGUUUUCAAAAAUGUCUCACUUGGUCUCAAUAAGGAUGUCAGCAUUGGCAGGGUUCAGCACGGCGUUGCAGAUCAGCUCCUGAGUUACUGGGAUGGACUUGUUCAUGGACACACACAGAUCGGACAGUACACUCUCUCCCACCUUGGUUCACGAUUUUUCCUCACAAGGCUGACAAAUGUGUCAAUUUCUGCUGCCGUGAUGUGCUUCUCCAAGAGUUUGCGGUUGUUGUGGAGGAGGGCCGUUAUCGUAUCCUCAGCCAACACG